UUUUAUCGGAGAGUUUGAUCCUGGCUCAGGACGAACGCUGGCGGCGUGCCUAAUACAUGCAAGUCGAGCGGAUUGAUGGGAGCUUGCUCCCAUCAGUCAGCGGCGGACGGGUGAGUAACACGUGGGUAACCUGCCUGUAAGACUGGGAUAACUCCGGGAAACCGGGGC
rnacentral:rRNA from 1 species